rnacentral:misc_RNA from 1 species
AAUUAUUGUCUCCUCCAUGCAGUUACGAGGAAGUAGCAGUGGCCCGACAGGAUAUAACCUCAAGCUUUCUUUUAUAACCAUAUCUAAAUAUGGAAGAUUGAACAAAUCUUUCUCCUCCACCAUUUUAUCCAAUCCAAAAACAGUCUGCAACUCAUCUUGUAGGCGUUUCAUUGCAGCAGGAUGUCUGAGGAGUUCUGAGAGUGUCCACUCAAUGGUAGUGGCCGAAGUGUCAAAUGAAGCUACGAUCAUGUCUAUUAAGAUAGCUUUUAUGUGGGCUCUAUCGAGCGUGUAAAGUACCUCUUCAUUGGAUGUCAUGGGUUGGUUCAUC